rnacentral:sRNA from 1 species
CUUGGUCAUUUAGAGGAAGUAAAAGUCGUAACAAGGUCUCCGUAGGUGAACCUGCGGAGGGAUCAUUACAAGUGACCCCGGUCUAACCACCGGGAUGUUCAUAACCCUUUGUUGUCCGACUCUGUUGCCUCCGGGGCGACCCUGCCUUCGGGCGGGGGCUCCGGGUGGACACUUCAAACUCUUGCGUAACUUUGCAGUCUGAGUAAACUUAAUUAAUAAAUUAAAACUUUUAACAACGGAUCUCUUGGUUCUGGCAUCGAUGAAGAACGCAGCGAAAUGCGAUAAGUAAUGUGAAUUGCAGAAUUCAGUGAAUCAUCGAAUCUUUGAACGCACAUUGCGCCCCCUGGUAUUCCGGGGGGCAUGCCUGUUCGAGCGUCAUUUCACCACUCAAGCCUCGCUUGGUAUUGGGCAACGCGGUCCGCCGCGUGCCUCAAAUCGACCGGCUGGGUCUUCUGUCCCCUAAGCGUUGUGGAAACUAUUCGCUAAAGGGUGUUCGGGAGGCUACGCCGUAAAACAACCCCAUUUCUAAGGUUGACCUCGGAUCAGGUAGGGAUACCCGCUGAACUUAAGCAUAUCAAUAAGCGGAGGAAAAGAAACCAACAGGGAUUGCUCUAGUAACGGCGAGUGAAGCAGCAAUAGCUCAAAUUUGAAAUCUGGCGUCUUCGACGUCCGAGUCGUAAUUUGUAGAGGAUGCUUCUGAGUAACCACCGACCUAAGUUCCUUGGAACAGGACGUCAUAGAGGGUGAGAAUCCCGUAUGCGGUCGGAAAGGUGCUCUAUACGUAGCUCCUUCGACGAGUCGAGUUGUUUGGGAAU